rnacentral:rRNA from 1 species
UGGUCAGGUAGAGAAUACCAAGGCGCUUGAGAGAACUCGGGUGAAGGAACUAGGCAAAAUGGUGCCGUAACUUCGGGAGAAGGCACGCUGAUAUGUAGGUGAAGUCCCUCGCGGAUGGAGCUGAAAUCAGUCGAAGAUACCAGCUGGCUGCAACUGUUUAUUAAAAACACAGCACUGUGCAAACACGAAAGUGGACGUAUACGGUGUGACGCCUGCCCGGUGCCGGAAGGUUAAUUGAUGGGGUCAGCGCAAGCGAAGCUCUUGAUCGAAGCCCCGGUAAACGGCGGCCGUAACUAUAACGGUCCUAAGGUAGCGAAAUUCCUUGUCGGGUAAGUUCCGACCUGCACGAAUGGCGUAAUGAUGGCCAGGCUGUCUCCACCCGAGACUCAGUGAAAUUGAACUCGCUGUGAAGAUGCAGUGUACCCGCGGCAAGACGGAAAGACCCCGUGAACCUUUACUAUAGCUUGACACUGAACAUUGAGCCUUGAUGUGUAGGAUAGGUGGGAGGCUUUGAAGUGUGGACGCCAGUCUGCAUGGAGCCGACCUUGAAAUACCACCCUUUAAUGUUUGAUGUUCUAACGUGGACCCGUGAUCCGGGUUGCGGACAGUGUCUGGUGGGUAGUUUGACUGGGGCGGUCUCCUCCUAAAGAGUAACGGAGGAGCACGAAGGUUGGCUAAUCCUGGUCGGACAUCAGGAGGUUAGUGCAAUGGCAUAAGCCAGCUUGACUGCGAGCGUGACGGCGCGAGCAGGUGCGAAAGCAGGUCAUAGUGAUCCGGUGGUUCUGAAUGGAAGGGCCAUCGCUCAACGGAUAAAAGGUACUCCGGGGAUAACAGGCUGAUACCGCCCAAGAGUUCAUAUCGACGGCGGUGUUUGGCACCUCGAUGUCGGCUCAUCACAUCCUGGGGCUGAAGUAGGUCCCAAGGGUAUGGCUGUUCGCCAUUUAAAGUGGUACGCGAGCUGGGUUUAGAACGUCGUGAGACAGUUCGGUCCCUAUCUGCCGUGGGCGCUGGAGAACUGAGGGGGGCUGCUCCUAGUACGAGAGGACCGGAGUGGACGCAUCACUGGUGUUCGGGUUGUCAUGCCAAUGGCACUGCCCGGUAGCUAAAUGCGGAAGAGAUAAGUGCUGAAAGCAUCUAAGCACGAAACUUGCCCCGAGAUGAGUUCUCCCUGACCCUUUAAGGGUCCUGAAGGAACGUUGAAGACGACGACGUUGAUAGGCCGGGUGUGUAAGCGCAGCGAUGCGUUGAGCUAACCGGUACUAAUGAACCGUGAGGCUUAACCUUACAACGCCGAAGGUGUUU